rnacentral:misc_RNA from 1 species
UCGAAAAUCGAAGUGAUUCUGUGAAUUUUACGGGAAGUGGUCCGUUGUUCGACCAGAAGACAAGCCAGACCUCUCUCAUUUAUCAAUUUAGAUCCACUUCCACUUGUCUACACUUGCAUUACAAAUUCACAAAUCUGGAGACCCAUUUUGAGUUUCUGACCAAUGGUGCCUUAUAUGGAAUGACAUAACUACUUUUACCAACCUCAGAUUUUGGUUUGACUCUAACAUUUAUCAGUUUGAGGUGUGUGUGUGCUCAUACACAUACACAAUCCCUUCGCAAUCCACAGGUUGCGUCCUUUGUGCACUAAAAUACAGAGUGGAGCUUUCAAAGGUUUUGCCGAACAAUAAAGAAAUGCUGAAAAUUUACAGAUCUGAUACAUUCUAUUUCAUCCCUUUACUGACUUGGAUCACACUCAAAACCACUAGUUACCAUUGUCAGGCUCCAAAAAAGCAAGCCAACCAAUUUACUUCAUGAAGCAAUGGAAAUGGAGAGCACUCGAUGCAGUUACAAACUCAGGCACUUGUUGGAACCAAGUCGCAAGCUAAUCGGUUCAUACCUGCUGCGUCAACCAUGCAUACUGGCUACAGGUUGAUUAGUUAAACAACGGAUAGACAAAGGCGAAAUCUCAAAUAUUUAAAAAAUGGCUAGAUUUAUCAGUACAACUUUGCAAAAUUUGAAGACUUAGUCAAGCUGUUUUGUCCAGUCAAAAGGUUCCCAAUCUCGUGCGAAAUUUGCAACUGCCUGCUUUUGCGACUCUACUGACUCGUGCCUUCUGCGACGAAACAUAUCUUCCUCUGGCAAACGUAGCAUGCCUCUUAUUACAUUUAAGCCAAGGCUACUCUUAAACUGUGUCUCGUCGUCAAUCACGUGGACAAAACCCUUGUUUAGGCCAAACUCAACAUGGAAGUAAGGGAAGUCCUUGGGAAUUGAACCUCGCAAUCCCUUCACACUAGUAUCGAUCAGCUUCUUUGCAUUGUGCUGGCUCCACUCAUCUUCAGCUUCAUCAAUUGCCUUUUUAAAAUAUAGAGGGGCCUGUUUAGCAAUUUCUCGUGGCAGAGGAAUGCACUCAAUUAAACAAUGACGACGCUGCUGCGCCAACCCCAUCACUGUUUCAAGAAAAACUAAAUCCUUGUCUUGCUGGGCAAACAUCAUCAUAAGGCAUUUCUUGAAAUUGCGAAUUUCUUCCCAUACAUUAUUGUCAACAAUCCUUGUGGCUGAUUCAUGCUGCAUUGGUAAGAUACAACAAUGGCCUGGAACAACAGACUGCCACUGUGGCAACAUCAAAUAUGUGAAGUUUGCAAUAGACACAACAAGAUGUUUUGGCCGGUUUGGAUUCUCAAAGCAAAAAAGGCAUCGCUCUUGCUGAGUCAGGAUUCGCUUUGCAAGAACACUUUUCUCCUUGGACUUCGGAUCAUUACCUACUCCCUUCCUCCUAGACUUUCGGCCUGGGCCAUCUUCGAAAUCAUAUUCAUCAUCUGCCCGACCAGAUAAACUAUAUUGUUUAUUCUGGAUUAUUUUUUGAGCUAGAUGCUUAUCAGCGUCAUCUUCCUUUUUUCGGGCAGAAAUACCUUGAAUAUCAUAACUGUUGGUGCUUCUGAUAUUUUGAGGUCUACUUGAAUUUUCUCCAGAACUUUGCUUUACCAUUAUUUUCUCAGCCUCUUGCAUGAGUUUAUCAGCUUCUUCAUGCUUCCCUUUCAUACGAAGCUGCAAAGCCUUGGCUGCCAGCUGGUUUGCACUCGAUGCUUCCUUAACAGCUGUGAUGCCUUCACCAGGUCUCUUCAUUUCAAAUGAAGCAUCUACAUUCUCAUCUUGAUUUAUGUGGGAACCAACAGAAUCAGGAAGAUCAUUAUUCUGCUGACUAAGAAGUUUGCUCAUAAAGCUUCCAUCAUCAGCAAACUUAUUUAAGCUAGAAACUGCAGCAUUAAUGAGGCCAGCAUCCUUAGCAGACACAUUUUGACUUUUUCGUUUUCCCCAGGACAAAGAAUCAUGUACUUUGGGAGCUCUCAUUUCAGGAUGUCGGACAGAUACAUCCUUUAAGUAGUCUCGACCAGCAUUCUUUUCUACAGCUUUCUCACUUUGACCAUCAGCAUCAGUUUGGUGUUCCCCUACUAACCCCCUCUGUCUAGUUUUUAUGGCUUGUAGAUGAGCACGAGCCGGGGCAGCUGUCUGAGAAACAGCAGAGACAGCCAAAAGACCAAGAGAACCCCAUCUUUCUUCCACAACCUCUUCAAGUUUUCUUCCCUCUCGGGCUGCUUGCUCUUUUGCACGCUUCAAGGCUUUUAGUCUCCAGCUUGCACCUCCAUCCCCAACAAGCGAAGAAGAAGGAAGUCGAUGUCCACCUGCUCUUUUCUCUUCUGCAUCAUCUGGAUAACCACUUCCAUUAUCCUUCAGAUAUGGAUUCAAUUCCCUGGGAUUCACUCUAUUCAUCUCCUGAACAGGUGGUUUCUCUGGCUGGUCAUCAACAUUCACUGCAGGCCUUCCAUCGGACUUGUCUGCAGGUCUAAGCAUCCAAUCCAAACCCAUUUCUUUUCUUGUAAUUUCUAUCUUCUCAGGAAAAUCAUUGCCAACUUCCUUUUCCUCUCUUUCCUCCUUUCUCUUCCUUCCACCUUUUCCCUCGUCUUCAGAGGCAGAUGAUGAAUAUUCCAUGGCUGAGUAAUGCUUCUUACCACUUCUUGAUCUCUUCUUUGACCUAUUGCUAUCCUCAUUCUCAGAACUAUAAUGAUUUCUUCUCUUAUUCUUUCUUUUAUUCCUUUGUUUCUUUUCAUUCCGGUCAGAACUGUCAUCACUGCUAUUACUAUCACUUAAAUCUGGUGAUGAAUUUUCAUCAGAAGAGUGCCAUUUCUUCUUUUUCCUAGAUACUUUUUUUAUUCUCCCACCAUCAUCCUCUGAACUACUGCUAUAUCGCGAACUCUUUUUAUUUUUCCUAUUUUUUUCCCUUGUACUCCCUGAGUUUUUACUCUUUUCUAUAGAAGCACCCCCAUCUUCAUCUUCUGCCUAUCAUGAUAAUGCAAAAUAUGAGCAAAGAAAACGCUUCUAAUCUAAAAUAAAAUGAGCAGAUCAAAAGCUUACUUGGUCGCGGGGUAUGAACUUGAUCCCGGAAAGCAUAUUUAUUUUUCAACAGUGUAAAAAAGUGUCCUGCUUACUCAAAAGCAGAACAUAUAAUAAACAAUUGGGAAUGGGAUUUCAAAACAGGUACAGAACCAGAAUCAUACAGAAAAAAAAACACAAUUUGAAUAUUCAUACAAGAAUUCGAAUUUAAAAAAUUGCGAUAAAUUCAGCUAUAUAGCAAACAAUCCAAAAAAGUAUAAUUUUUAGGUCAGAUUUAUUGCUCUACAUCCUCAAAACUUAGAAACGAAUGGUGAAUUCCCAAAAUCAGAGAAGAAUAAGAACAAAAAUAAAUACAAUGGAUGGAAAAUAGUGGAAGAACAAGCUCAUAAGCUAAAAUCACAUCUGAAAAAAAAAACAAUUAGAAGCAAAAUUUCUCUGCAAAUUCAAAAAUCCACAUCGGGUACUGAGGUUUUAAUUUUCCCUUACCUACAGUGCGUCCUACGCAGCAACUCUGAGGCUACGAACUUGGAAUUUAGUCCGUUCUUUGUAUCUCGGAUUCUUGGUUGUCUUCUGUUCUUUCUCCUCCUACGCAGUAGCGGUUUCUCGCUCUUUGUCCGGCCUGCUGCUUGAUC